CCGGCGCACGGGUGAGUAACACGUAUCCAACCUGCCCUUUACUCGGGGAUAGCCUUUCGAAAGAAAGAUUAAUACCCGAUAGCAUAAUGAUUCCGCAUGGUUUCAUUAUUAAAGGAUUCCGGUAAAGGAUGGGGAUGCGUUCCAUUAGGUUGUUGGUGAGGUAACGGCUCACCAAGCCUUCGAUGGAUAGGGGUUCUGAGAGGAAGGUCCCCCACAUUGGAACUGAGACACGGUCCAAACUCCUACGGGAGGCAGCAGUGAGGAAUAUUGGUCAAUGGGCGCUAGCCUGAACCAGCCAAGUAGCGUGAAGGAUGAAGGCUCUAUGGGUCGUAAACUUCUUUUAUAUAAGAAUAAAGUGCAGUAUGUAUACUGUUUUGUAUGUAUUAUAUGAAUAAGGAUCGGCUAACUCCGUGCCAGCAGCCGCGGUAAUACGGAGGAUCCGAGCGUUAUCCGGAUUUAUUGGGUUUAAAGGGAGCGUAGGUGGACUGGUAAGUCAGUUGUGAAAGUUUGCGGCUCAACCGUAAAAUUGCAGUUGAUACUGUCAGUCUUGAGUACAGUAGAGGUGGGCGGAAUUCGUGGUGUAGCGGUGAAAUGCUUAGAUAUCACGAAGAACUCCGAUUGCGA
rnacentral:rRNA from 1 species